UAAAAAUGAAAAGUUUCGAGAUAGCCA
rnacentral:piRNA from 1 species